rnacentral:rRNA from 1 species
UUUGAGAAGCUAAGCAGAGUUAGCCCUGGUUAGUAUUUCGAUGGGAAACUACCAGGGAGUGUCAGAGUUCUUCAGGU